AAACAUGGUCUUUUGAUUUAUAUAAAAGAUCUGUCCUGCCCAGUGAUUUAUUUUAAAUGGCUGCAGUAUUUUGACUGUACAAAGGUAGCAUAAUCAUUUGCCUUUUAAUUGAAGGAUGGAAUGAAUGGAUGGAUGAGAAAUAUACUUUCUUUAUUUUAAUAAAUGAAUUUAAUCUUUGAGUCAAAAAGCUUAAAUAAAAUUAUAAGACGAGAAGACCCUGUAGAAUUUUAUUUAUUAUAACCUUUUAAUUUUUUUUUAAUUUUUUAAAUUAAAAGGUUAUAAUAAAUUGUGUUGGGGUGACAAAAAAAAUAUAUUAACUUUUUUUAUUUUUUUCAUAUAUAUAUGAAUUAUUGAUCCUUUCAUAAAGAUAAUAAGAUUAAAUUACCUCAGGGAUAACAGCGUUAUCAUUUUGGAGAGUUCUUAUCAAUAAAAUGGAUUGCGACCUCGAUGU
rnacentral:rRNA from 1 species